rnacentral:rRNA from 1 species
GACGAACGCUGGCGGCGUGCUUAACACAUGCAAGUCGAACGGAAAGGCCCUGCUUUUGUGGGGUGCUCGAGUGGCGAACGGGUGAGUAACACGUGAGUAACCUGCCCUUGACUUUGGGAUAACUUCAGGAAACUGGGGCUAAUAUCGGAUAGGAGCUCCUGCUGCAUGGUGGGGGUUGGAAAGUUUCGGCGGUUGGGGAUGGACUCGCGGCUUAUCAGCUUGUUGGUGGGGUAGUGGCUUACCAAGGCUUUGACGGGUAGCCGGCCUGAGAGGGUGACCGGCCACAUGGGGACUGAGAUACGGCCCAGACUCCUACGGGAGGCAGCAGUGGGGAGUAUUGCACAAUGGGCGGAAGCCUGAUGCGACAACGCCGCGUGCGGGAUGACGGCCUUCGGGUUGUAAACCGCUUUCGCCUGUGACGAAGCGUGAGUGACGGUAAUGGGUAAAGAAGCACCGGCUAACUACGUG